rnacentral:rRNA from 1 species
GAUGAACGCUGGCGGCGUGCCUAAUACAUGCAAGUCGAGCGAACAGACGAGGAGCUUGCUCCUCUGACGUUAGCGGCGGAAGGGUGAGUAACACGUGGAUAACCUACCUAUAAGACUGGGAUAACUUCGGGAAACCGGAGCUAAUACCGGAUAAUAUAUUGAACCGCAUGGUUCAAUAGUGAAAGACGGUUUUGCUGUCACUUAUAGAUGGAUCCGCGCCGCAUUAGCUAGUUGGUAAGGUAACGGCUUACCAAGGCAACGAUGCGUAGCCGACCUGAGAGGGUGAUCGGCCACACUGGAACUGAGACACGGUCCAGACUCCUACGGGAGGCAGCAGUAGGGAAUCUUCCGCAAUGGGCGAAAGCCUGACGGAGCAACGCCGCGUGAAUGAUGAAGGUCCUCGGAUCGUAAAACUCUGUUAUUAGGGAAGAACAAAUGUGUAAGUAACUAUGCACGUCUUGACGGUACCUAAUCAGAAAGCCACGGCUAACUACGUG